rnacentral:rRNA from 1 species
CCUACGGGAGGCAGCAGUGAGGAAUAUUGGUCAAUGGACGCAAGUCUGAACCAGCCAUGCCGCGUGCGGGAUGAAGGCCCUAUGAGUUGUAAACUUCUUUUGUCCGAGGGUAAUAUCAGAUACGUGUAUCUGCUUGAAAGUAUCUUACGAAUAAGGAUCGGCUAACUCCGUGCCAGCAGCCGCGGUAAUACGGAGGAUCCGAGCGUUAUCCGGAUUUAUUGGGUUUAAAGGGUGCGUAGGAGGUUUUAUAAGUUAGAGGUGAAAAUUCGGGGCUCAACUCCGGACCUGCCUUUAAUACUGUCUGACUAGAGAAUAGAUGAGGUAGGCGGAAUGUAUGGUGUAGCGGUGAAAUGCGUAGAGAUCACACAGAACACCGAUUGCGAAGGCAGCCUACCAAACUACAACUGACGUUGAGGCACGAAAGCGUGGGGAGCAAACAGGAUUAGAUACCCGAGUAGUC